rnacentral:rRNA from 1 species
AACGAACGCUGGCGGCAGGCCUAACACAUGCAAGUCGAGCGCGCCCUCCGGGGUGAGCGGCGGACGGGUGAGUCACGCGUGGGAACGUGCCCUUUUCUACGGAAUAGCCUCGGGAAACUGAGAGUAAUACCGUAUACGCCCUUUGGGGGAAAGAUUUAUCGGAAAAGGAUCGGCCCGCGUUGGAUUAGGUAGUUGGUAGGGUAAUGGCCUACCACGCCGACGAUCCAUAGCUGGUUUGAGAGGAUGAUCAGCCACACUGGGACUGAGACACGGCCCAGACUCCUACGGGAGGCAGCAGAGGGGAAUCUUAGACAACGGGGGCAACCCUGAUCUAGCCAGGCCGCGUGAGUGAUGAAGGCCUUAGGGUUGUAAAGCGCUUUCAGCUGGGAAGAUAAUGACGGUACCAGCAGAAGAAGCCCCGGCUAACUCCGUG